UGUUCACUCUGGGUUGAGGGCGUGCCUGUUGACUAUGAAGAGCAAUCAUCAAUGGAUCUCUGAUAACAUGAUCAAACAUGGACCAAAAGCGUAGAUCCACUUACUUUUCCCCCACGGAAUUGGAAAUUCUAAUGAACGUGUAUGCCGAGCAGUUACCCAUUUUAACCAAAAAAAGCAAUACCGCCGCGGCAGCGAGAGCGUCUUGAGAGCUUGGCAGGAAAUAGCUGAACAAGUCAAUGCCAAAUCGAAAAAAUGCAGAGGCCCGGCAGACUGGAGGGGGUCCACCACCUGCAGCCCUCACAGAGGCUGAGGAGAUGGCCCUCAGCCAACAGAGUAUGCGUCCUGUGGCUGAGGGCAUCCCUGGGGGGAGCUCCUCUGAACCCCCCCCCCCCAGGAUAGAAGUGCCUUUACAGUAUAAGAGGUUGGUUAUUCAAAAUAAUUAGAUAUGUACACGCAACCCAGCGCGUUGCAAAUUAGAUGGGGCAAUUUUCUGGCUCAAGUAAUAAUUGCACUGUCUAAUCAUCUUCUUCCAGUUACUGAUGGCGUCAUCGCCCUACUUGAACCAGAUGCCCUCACCAACCUCCAUGCAAUUGUAACAAUUCAAAAGAUGCAAAAGGAUGCUUUGGAGAUCCAAAUUUUGGAACAUAAGUUAUAG
ensembl:lncRNA